UCUGGCAGUAUCUUCUGUGAAGCAGGAACCCAAGGGACCAUCUUACCCUGUUUUGGUGAAGUUCAGUGGUCAUUUUCCCCUGGGUCCUGCAUGUCCAGUUUAUACAAUACACUGUCAAACAGUCCAGGUGUCUGGCAUCCUGACUUCAGGUUACAGAAUGCAGCGUUUAAGGAAGAUACUCUGUGAGAUGCUCUUUACAACUCUUUACUGAGAAGCAGACAACUAAAUCACCUUCCUCUUUGCCUCACCUCGUCUGCCCAAGAAGAACUGGAUUUCAGUCUCUCUUGGCUUAGAAUGGUGUUACAUCAAAAAUUCAUCUCAGUGCUGUUUGCUUUAAGGUUUUCCCCAUUCACACCGGAAGGUAUCUUUUAUACGGACACAGCAAUUUCACACUUCUGCUCUCAAAUGCCCACGAAAAGUUAAGGAUAUGCGCAUCUUUCAAGAAUCUCUCAGACCUGAAAAUCGAGACUUGAAGUACUUAUGGCCACAGACGGGAGCGCAGCAAAGGAGCAUAAAGGUGCAGUGUAGAAGGAACUCAAGAACGCUUCCAAGGAAACAGGAACAGGGUGUGCAGGUGGACUCAGAAAAUCAGCCAAGUCAUGUCUGCGGUCUUCGAGUUCAGGUGCCCGACUCAGGUUCAGAGCAAAGGUCUUCAUCUUGGGGGUC